rnacentral:lncRNA from 1 species
ACUUUGACUUCGCUUUUCUCGCUAUGAUCCCCACCCCUUUUGGCGGGGGGUGGGGGUGGUGAGCUCCUUUGAACUGGUGCUGUGUUCUAUUUGUAUUAUCUCCACUCCUGAGGAUCCCUUUCCUCAAACCACUGCUUUUAUCAUGUUUUUAAGUUCUUCCAUUCUCCCCUUUAAACUCCCUCUUCAAGAACUGCCUGCAAAAGGGUCAUAUUCAUAAUAUGGGAUUAAUGUGAAGAAACCAAAGGAUGAUUUUUUAAAAAGCCAAAUGGACGCCCUGGAGGACUCUGUUUUGGAUUGUAUUUUUGCUUGUUUAGCUGGUUGUGAUUUAUUAGGUUCUUUAUUCCCUUUAAGGUCGGUUCUAGUUUAAACCUAACAUCUCUGACUGAUGGCGCCCAAUAAAAUAAAAC